CGUACCUUUUGGUUCGGAACAACACAGGGAAACUUGUGCUAAUACCGGAUAAGCCCUUACGGGGAAAGAUUUAUCGCCGAAAGAUCGGCCCGCGUCUGAUUAGCUAGUUGGUGAGGUAACGGCUCACCAAGGCGACGAUCAGUAGCUGGUCUGAGAGGAUGAUCAGCCACAUUGGGACUGAGACACGGCCCAAACUCCUACGGGAGGCAGCAGUGGGGAAUAUUGGACAAUGGGCGCAAGCCUGAUCCAGCCAUGCCGCGUGAGUGAUGAAGGCCCUAGGGUUGUAAAGCUCUUUUGUGCGGGAAGAUAAUGACGGUACCGCAAGAAUAAGCCCCGGCUAACUUCGUGCCAGCAGCCGCGGUAAUACGAAGGGGGCUAGCGUUGCUCGGAAUCACUGGGCGUAAAGGGUGCGUAGGCGGGUCUUUAAGUCAGGGGUGAAAUCCUGGAGCUCAACUCCAGAACUGCCUUUGAUACUGAGGAUCUUGAGUUCGGGAGAGGUGAGUGGAACUGCGAGUGUAGAGGUGAAAUUCGUAGAUAUUCGCAAGAACACCAGUGGCGAAGGCGGCUCACUGGCCCGAUACUGACGCUGAGGCACGAAAGCGUGGGGAGCAAACAGGAUUAGAUACCCUGGUAGUCCACGCUGUAAACGAUGAAUGCCAGCCGUUGGAAAGUUUACUUUUCAGUGGCGCAGCUAACGCUUUAAGCAUUCCGCCUGG
rnacentral:rRNA from 1 species